UGGUGUUUGGCACUUCUACAAAUCAACCUGCUACAUGUUAAGAGCCUGGUCCAAGCCUUGGGAAUGGACUUUUCUAAGGGCACCCUAUGGCCAACACAGGUCUGAACCCAUUCACUGAGAGGACAGUGGAUUUUUGAAAACAUCAGAAAAUAAUCAGGAACAUCCCUACUUGAACAAAAAGAUGACCCCCCCAAUCUUGUCUGGUAACAGCAGAUUCUGUGAAACUUGUCUUGCUGCUGCCCUAGGCAAACACAGACCAUGACCUCUACAGAUGCUCUCCUGCCGGAAGACAGCUACCAUGUCAGCCUGGGGGUUUAUAUGAUGGCAUACAUACAUCAGACGCUUGUUCUUCCUUCAUGCAAAUCAGUGACCUGUGAAAGCUCCAGUGACUUUAAAGACCCAGAUUUCCUUCCUGUGGAAGACAGUGCAGGAGUGGAGCCAGUCUCAGAGCUGAUCUCAUCCCAGUAUCAAGCUGGGACAUGAUCUAGGAAUGCACCUAGACAAGGGAGCUCAGAAGCGCUCUACAUAAACGCACCCUAAUCUAAAGAUGCAUAUAGCGACUAGAGCCCAGGUUUGGAAGGUGCUCCCCUGAGAUGGAAAUUACAGACCCAGGGUCUCAGUGUUGUCAGCUGAGGCCACUCAGGCUCUCAAACCUGCAAUGCCUUUUGCACUUUUUUUUAAUGUGUUUUGGUUUACGAGAGCUUGCCCUUGCAGACCUCUGUGAAAAUGCGUGGCCAGGCUACAGCCGACCUUUACAGAAUUUAGCAAUCACCUUUUCUAUACCAAUAUCUGCACAAAAUUUCAUAGUGCUAAUAAUUUAUAAUUAUAUCAUAGACUGUUGUAUUAAAAACUGUAGAAAAGAACAAGAAAAGCCCCCAAAGCUCUACAGAUUGUAAUGACAGGACAAUAUUUUAUGCCUUACAUAAAUAUAACUGGUCACUCCAUCAAAAGCAAAAAGUUGCAUUAUUGAAAUAAAUGCUAUUAAAUAAAGUACUUUCAAUUUAGCAGAAA